GACGAACGCUGGCGGCGUGCUUAACACAUGCAAGUCGAACGGAAAGGCCCUGCUUUUGUGGGGUGCUCGAGUGGCGAACGGGUGAGUAACACGUGAGUAACCUGCCCUUGACUUUGGGAUAACUUCAGGAAACUGGGGCUAAUACCGGAUAGGAGCUCCUGCUGCAUGGUGGGGGUUGGAAAGUUUCGGCGGUUGGGGAUGGACUCGCGGCUUAUCAGCUUGUUGGUGGGGUAGUGGCUUACCAAGGCUUUGACGGGUAGCCGGCCUGAGAGGGUGACCGGCCACAUUGGGACUGAGAUACGGCCCAGACUCCUACGGGAGGCAGCAGUGGGGAAUAUUGCACAAUGGGCUGAAGCCUGAUGCAGCAACGCCGCGUGCGGGAUGACGGCCUUCGGGUUGUAAACCGCUUUCGCCUGUGACGAAGCGUGAGUGACGGUAAUGGGUAAAGAAGCACCGGCUAACUACGU
rnacentral:rRNA from 1 species